ACUUUUCUUUUGUUGGAUGGUUCAUCUUGACAUUCAAUGUGGACACUUUUUAAUUAGGGGAUUAAUUGAUCCCUUGAUUAAAUUUAUCCAUGCAGGGUAUGACAAACACAGGACAUCAAAGAGGAAUGAACUUAUUCCAUAGGUCUGCAUAAGAUAGAGAUCAAUGCUUGAUCCUAACAAAAAAGUUCUGGCUAAAAAUUUUUUAUGUUAAACAUUUGAUUUGACAGGCGCAGUAUUUGGAUAGAAUUCAGUCAGGAUUUAGUGGGAAAUUUCCUGGAUUCAAGCAACAGUUUGGAUCUACUGGUAAUUCUGCUGCUGCUCCUUGGAUUGGAAGUUUAACAACCCAACAGUAUCCAAGAAACCCUCAGAUACCUCCUUCCUCACAGUUUGAAAAUGAGUUUGAUUAUGACGGAUACAUACCAGUAAGAGAGGAUUAUCUAAACCUUUAGGGUGUCCAAUUUUAUGACUAUGUGGGGUUCUAUCCAGAUUUAGAAUAUGAGCUCAGUUUAUCAGCAUCAAAUCAAUCAAUCAUCAACCAUUCGAUCAAUCAAUAGUUUAAUUCACAUUGACUCUGAAAUCUAUUAUGUAAUAGAAAUUGUUUAAGUUUUAAUGUUUGCAUAACUGACUUGUAAUUCUUUCCAACACCCCUCCAUAUUGGCAACCAGACCUAAAAUGUUAAAACCUAGAUUUUUUCCUAUUCAUCUAAUUUUUAAUUACUCUGACCGUUUAGUAUAUCCCUAAUCUAUUCUUCACUCUAUUUCAAAAUUUUGUUAAAAUUCAAAUUCCAAAAAAAUUA